GACGAACGCUGGCGGCGUGCUUAACACAUGCAAGUCGAACGGAAAGGCCUUGCUCUUGUGGUGCGCUCGAGUGGCGAACGGGUGUGACACGUGAGUGACACCUGCCUUUGAUUUGGGGAACACUUCAGGACACUGGGGCAUAUAGCGGAUAGGAGCCUCCGCCGCGUGGUGGGGGGUGGAGAGUUUCGGCGGGUGGGGAUGGGCUCGCGGCUUAUCAGCUUGUUGGUGGGGUAGUGGCUUACCAAGGCUUUGACGGGUAGCCGGCCUGAGAGGGUGACCGGCCACAUUGGGACUGAGAUACGGCCCAGACUCCUACGGGAGGCAGCAGUGGGGAAUAUUGCACAAUGGGCGGAAGCCUGAUGCAGCAACGCCGCGUGCGGGAUGACGGCCUUCGGGUUGUAAACCGCUUUCGCCUGUGACGAAGCGUGAGUGACGGUAAUGGGUAAAGAAGCACCGGCUAACUACGUG
rnacentral:rRNA from 1 species